rnacentral:rRNA from 1 species
CGAGACGACGCUGGCGGCGUGCCUAAUACAUGCAAGUCGAACGGUCUUUCUAUGGAAGCUUGCUUCCACUGAGAAGAUAGUGGCGAACGGGUGAGUAACACGUGGGUAACCUGCCCAUAAGAGGGGGAGUAACAUCCGGAAACGGGUGCUAAUACCGCAUAGUUUUCUUGAUCGCAUGAUUGAGAAAGGAAAGACGGCCUUUGUGCUGUCGCUUAUGGAUGGACCCGCGGCGUAUUAGUUAGUUGGUGAGGUAACGGCUCACCAAGACGAUGAUACGUAGCCGACCUGAGAGGGUGAUCGGCCACAUUGGGACUGAGACACGGCCCAAACUCCUACGGGAGGCAGCAGUAGGGAAUCUUCCGCAAUGGACGAAAGUCUGACGGAGCAACGCCGCGUGAGUGAAGAAAAGGUUUUCGGAUCGUAAAACUCUGUUGUCAGAGAAGAACAAGUUGGAGAGUAACUGCUCCAGCCUUGACGGUAUCUGAUCAGAAAGCCACGGCUAACUACGUGCCAGCCGCGGC